rnacentral:rRNA from 1 species
AUUGAACGCUGGCGGAAUGCUUUACACAUGCAAGUCGAGCGGCAGCGCGGGGCAACCUGGCGGCGAGCGGCGAACGGGUGAGUAAUACAUCGGAACGUGCCCAGACGUGGGGGAUAACUACUCGAAAGAGUGGCUAAUACCGCAUACGAUCUACGGAUGAAAGCGGGGGAUCGCAAGACCUCGCGCGUCUGGAGCGGCUGAUGGCAGAUUAGGUAGUUGGUGGGAUAAAAGCCUACCAAGCCAACGAUCUGUAGCUGGUCUGAGAGGAUGAUCAGCCACACUGGGACUGAGACACGGCCCAGACUCCUACGGGAGGCAGCAGUGGGGAAGUUUUGGACAAUGGGCGAAAGACCUGAUCCAGCCAUUCCGCGUGCAGGAUGAAGG